CCCCCCCAGCCAGCUGGGAGUGAUUAGCAUGCUAGCGGAGGGCAGUUCGGCUGCCCCGCAGACAGCUCAGUAACACGUGGUCAAUCUGCCCUUAGGUUGGAGAUAACCCCGGGAAACUGGGGAUAAUAACCAAUAAACGGGGGCACUGGAACAAAGUCCCUCGUCGAAACGCUCCGGCGCCUAAGGAUGAGACUGCGGCCUAUUAGGUAGUUGGUGAGGUAAAGGCUCACCAAGCCGAAGAUGGGUACGGGCCCUGAGAGGGGGAGCCCGGAGAUGGAGACUGAGACAAGGCUCCAGGCCCUACGGGGCGCAGCAGGUGCGAAAAUUCCGCAAUGCGUGAAAGCGCGACGGAGUGACUCCCAGUGCCGAUGGUCUAACGACCGUCGGCUUUUCUGAAGUGUAAACGGCUUUAGGUAAUAAGGGCCGGGUAAGACUGGUGCCAGCCGCCGCGGUAACACCAGCGGCCCAAGUGGUAGUCGCUUUUAUUGGGCCUAAAGCGUCCGUAGCCGGAUUGACAAGUCCUUUGUGAAAUCGGACGGCUUAACCGUUCGGCUUGCGGAGGAAACUGUCGAUCUUGGGACCGGUAGGCGCUAAGGGUACUCCGGGGGUAGCGGUGAAAUGCUAUAAUCCCUGGGGGACCGCCAGUGGCGAAAGCGCUUAGCGAGGCCGGAUCCGACGGUGAGGGACGAAGGCUAGGGGAGCGAACCGGAUUAAAUACCCGGGUAAUCCUAGCUGUAAGGAUGUGAGCUAGGUGCUUGACGUUCCUCGAGAACGUUAGGUGCCGAAGGGAAGCCGUUAAGCUCACCGCCUGGGAAGUACGACCGCAAGGUUGAACUUUAAGAAAUUGACGGGGGGACACCACCAGGGGUGGGGCCUGCGGUUUAUUGGGAUCCACGGCGGGACAUCUCACCGGGGGCGACGGCAAAUGAAAGCCAAGUUGACAAAUUUUGUGGAUUCCGCCGAAAGGAGGUUCAUGCCCGCCCGU
rnacentral:rRNA from 1 species